GCGCGCUCGGGGGAGGGGCGAGCGCAGGCCCCGCCCCUGCCCUGCCCUCCGCGAAGGUUCCGGGAUCGAUCAAAGCCGGUCCUCCUCUAGGGUUUCGCCCGCGGGCGGCCCGGCGCUUCUCGCGCUUCAAAGGCGGCGCCGAGAUCCCAGCGCCCCCGACUUCGCUCCUCUCAGACCGACAGAAACGCAGCAUCCGAGCUUUGUUUUAUGAAAGCUGUUGUAUAGCCAAGAGAUUUUUCAAAGGAAACUAAGGCACAGAAAAGGUAAAUGACCUUGGCCAAAGCCCUAUCCGGUGGUAAGUCAAGUGGAGUGUGGAUGAGAAUGCAGUUUGAUGGGACUCCUCUCCGAUACUCUGAUUCCCCAAGGCCUUCCUGCCUUUGGUGAAAGGGAGUCUGCAAUUACUGCUAUAAUUUGCCUGUCCAUCUGCUUACAGGGGGGGAAAAUAACAUUGCUUUAAUGUUUUGUCUUUUUGGUUCCUUUGCAUUCUCCUAUUUCAUUUCACUGCUUAUUGCUUCUUGACAUCUUAUCUCCUGCCCAGUCUCUGGAAAAAAUGACUUUGUUUUAAUCAAUGAAUAACUAGCCGGAAAUAUUCCAUAUUACCAUCACUCGUCACUGGA